UACCGUUGCGGAGGCUUAAUACAUGCAAGUCGAACGGUAAGGUUUCUUCGGAGACACACGAGUGGCGCACGGGUGCGUAACGCGUAUGCAACCUACCUUUAACUGGGAGAUAGCCCCGAGAAAUCGGGAAUAAUACCCCAUAAUAUUCAAAACACACCUGUUUUUUGAAUCAAAGUUCCGGCGGUUAAAGAUGGGCAUGCGUGGCAUUAGCUAGUUGGUAAGGUAACGGCUUACCAAGGCGAUGAUGCCUAGGGGUUCUGAGAGGAUAUACCCCCACACUGGUACUGAGACACGGACCAGACUCCUACGGGAGGCAGCAGUAAGGAAUAUUGGGCAAUGGACGCAAGUCUGACCCAGCCAUGCCGCGUGCAGGAUGACUGCCCUAUGGGUUGUAAACUGCUUUUAUACGGGAAAAAAAUAUCCGACGUGUCGGAAGCUGAUGGUACCGUAUGAAUAAGCAUCGGCUAACUCCGUGCCAGCAGCCGCGGUAAUACGGAGGAUGCAAGCGUUAUCCGGAUUUAUUGGGUUUAAAGGGUGCGCAGGCGGAAUGAUAAGUCAGUGGUGAAAGCUUCCGGCUCAACCGGAAAAUUGCCAUUGAUACUAUCGUUCUUGAGUACAGUUGAGGUAGGCGGAAUGUGUCAUGUAGCGGUGAAAUGCUUAGAUAUGACACAGAACACCGAUAGCGAAGGCAGCUUACCAAAUUGAAACUGACGCUCAUGCACGAAAGCGUGGGGAUCAAACAGGAUUAGAUACCCUGGUAGUCCACGCUGUAAACGAUGAUCACUCGCUGUUGGCAAUACACAGUCAGCGGCUAAGCGAAAGCAUUAAGUGAUCCACCUGGGGAGUACGGCGGCAACGUUG
rnacentral:rRNA from 1 species